AUUAAUUCUGGUUGAUCCUGCCAGAGGCCACUGCUAUCAGAGUUCGAUUAAGCCAUGCGAGUCGAGAGGUGUAAGACCUCGGCAUACUGCUCAGUAACACGUGGACAACCUAACCUACGGAAGGGGAUAACCCCGGGAAACUGGGGAUAAUACCCUAUAGACUAUGGAUGCUGGAAUGCUCUGUAGCCGAAAGGUCAGCCGCCGUAGGAUGGGUCUGCGGCCGAUUAGGUUGUUGUUGGGGUAACGGCCCAACAAGCCUGUAAUCGGUACGGGUUGUGGGAGCAAGAGCCCGGAGAUGGAUUCUGAGACACGAAUCCAGGCCCUACG
rnacentral:rRNA from 1 species